GAUGAACGCUGACAGAAUGCUUAACACAUCAGCAAUUGAUUGGUGGCGGACGGGUGAGUAACGCGUAAAGAACUUGCCUCACAGCUAGGGACAACAUUUGGAAACGAAUGCUAAUACCUAAUACUGUGAGAGAGCUUUGCGUCCCAUUAGCUAGUUGGAGAGGUAACGGCUCACCAAGGCGAGGAUGGGUAGCCGGACUGAGAGGGUGAUCGGCCACAAGGGGAUAGGGACACGGCCAUUACUCAUACGGGAGGCAGGAGUGGGGAAUAGUGGACAAUAGACCAAAGUCUGAUCCAGCAAUUAUGUGUGCACGAUGAAGCUGUCGGAAUGUAAAGUGCUUUGAGUUGGGAAGCGGUACCAACAGAAGAAGUGACGGCUAAAUACGUGCCAGCAGCCGCGGUAAUAC
rnacentral:rRNA from 1 species